GUUUGAGGACAGCUGUUCCUAAACACACUGUUAAGGCAUAACUGUCUGCUGUUCGAAACCGUUAAGAGAGCAUUGCUCGAAUAGUUCAAACCAUUUGAUUCUGGAGAGCACUGGAGGGAAGUGUUUACAUAGUGUCUUUCUGGGGCUUGUUAGCCAGGCCGUUGUGGAGAGAGCUGUGGGUCUGAACUCAAGUGCUUUUGGCAGUUGCCCACCCUAUUUGACUAGAUGUGGCUUAAUUAGGAUCAGACAAAACUUUGUAAACAAGUUAAGGUAGCUUUUGUGUUCCUUAUCAGGAGCUGAAGCAGGAAAUGAAAGAUCAAGAGGGAACCCAAGCAGAUACGCUAUUGUCUGGGACGCUGGUCUGGAAGUCUGAUCCUGCCCAUGGAGACACAAACGGCCCUCACUGUGGCUCCAGGGCCCCCACCCACACCAGGCAUUACACCAACACCAAAGGGUCAGGGUGAGCUGUAAAGUCAUUUAACGGGGUGCUGCAUGCGAGGGUGGUGUAAACCUGUGAACCCUGUGGCCCAGCUCAACGCUCCUGUUCCCAGACCAUUUGUUCACAAAUGCAAUCCCGCUUUCUCGUGGCAUGAGAGCUUCACCUUGAGACUGAGAAUAAGACGAUCAGCACACACACACACGCGACCAGCGAUGGCCGAUCUAAUGUUUGCCUGAAUGUGGCCUGUUUCGGCUCGGAGCACCUCUCUUCGGUUUAGGUUUCCUUUAGGGACUCGGCGAGACCCACAGCGUCAGACCCCAUUCAGUCUAUUGUUAAUCGAGAGCGUCUACAAUCAAAGUGUGGAGUGUUUGGGUCAGAAGCCUCGGCGAUUGAGGGCUACCCCGGGGGCAAGAGCGUGGCCCCCAGAGACACCGCACAGCUCUGAGGUUUCACCUGGGGACUCGAGCGCUUAGAGAUCUAAUGACCCACUCCAGAAAUAUUUGCUUGAUUGAGUGUGUGGUUGACUUUUCUCAUAUUGAUCCACAGGUGAGCUCUUCUGUUUCACUUAUAAACUACCAGCUCAUUUAUCAACCUUGUUCUGCAAUUAAAGUGAAAUUGUAGUAGUAGAUCAUUCAUUUGUUCGUUUGUUCCUCCAUCCGUCAAAAAUGGUAGCAUUGCAUGUCUGUUACCAUUAAGAUCAUUUGUAUGCUAGUGUACUUAACUUAACUUUAACAGGUAUAAAUAAAAAAGUAAAUAAAUGCACUGCCAUUCAAAAGUUUGGGAUCAGUAACAUUUUUAAAGAAG